rnacentral:tRNA from 1 species
AAGAUUUUAAGUUAACAAAACUAUUAGCCUUCAAAGUUGAAAAUAAAAUUCAAUUUUAAGUCUUA